UCCUCGUGUGACUCUACAUGAGAACAAAGCUCUUCACAUUGUUCACAUUAAGAGAUCCUGGGCUCUGAAAAACAAGAAGACUUUCUCACUAAAGAUGACUUUUACUUUCUUUGGGCAUCUUAAUUCCAUUCUUUGAUCUGGAAAGUGGGCUCUGUCACUCUUGGCUUGUACCAAUGCUUUUGUUGAGCUUACAGACGUGAUAGCACCUUUUCUUUUUUUCCCAGGCUUUUUCUUUUGUCUCAGAACUCUGCUGCCUUGGAGAUUUUGGUUUUCUCCUUAGGCUGUGAUUUUUUAUCUUCAAAGUUGUGAAACUUGACUCAAUUGUUGAUGCUUGUUUUUUGCCCUGGUGCUCCACUGCUCGAUCCCAAGGCAUUGUAAUAAACAUCCUCUUGGCCGUGAAAUGGAAACUUGUCUAACAAUGAUGUUCGUUUGUUUACUUAUUUAUUUUGGCUUCAUUUUUGCCUAGGAAACCAGAAUGGAAAUUUUGAAUUCUGAUAGAUGUUAGGGAAUUCUAAUGAAUAAUAGCAUCUCUUAUGAACACUUACCAUGUGCCUAACACUACCGAUUUUUUGGUAAAUGGGUUCAAGUCCUCGAGGGCCAUUCUGUGAGGUAGGUGCUAUUAUUAUCCCCAUUCCACUAUUGAGGAAAUUGAGGCUUUAAGCAGUUAGACAACCUGCUCAAAGCUAUAGAGUAGUGAAUGAUAAAGCUGAGGUUCAAACACAGGCUUGUUUGACCAGUCUGGAUUCUUAACCACUAUCCAGAAUGUUCUUUGGCAUUUCAAAUCAUUCAUAAGCAAUACUUCCAAGAAUGUUUUAAAACAGAAAAAAUUAGGGCGCCUGGGUGGCUCAGUUGGUUAAGCGACUGCCUUCAGCUCAGGUCAUGAUCCCGGAGUCCCUGGAUCGAGUCCCGCAUCGGGCUCCCUGCUCGGCAGGGAGUCUCCUUCUCCCUCUGACCCUCCCCCCUCUCAUGUGCUCUCUCUCAUUCUCUCUCACACAAAUAAAUAAAUAAAAUCUUAAAAAAAAAAAAAAAAAAAACAGAAAAAAUUAAACCAGAGUAAAGAGCUACUUACUUUGUGGUGAAGUAAAAAGAACACUGGGAUAGGAGUCAAAAAGCUGUGUCCUUACUAGCUGAGCUGGUCCCCAGGCAAGUCAUCAAGUCAGUCACCAGCUCCUCCUUUCACCUUUGUUUUUCCCAUCUGUGAAAGUGCCAAUCUUCCAGCAUUCUUAAAAAAACAAACAAACAAACAAACAAAGCAAACCUUGACUUCCUCUUUACUUUUCCCUAUUCUAAGAUAGAUGAAACCUGCCACUCCCAUAUCAUUUGUGAGAGUUAAGGCUGGUAUCAGAUGAGUCAGUUGGCACAGAGCUACUUGUCCUGAAAGAGAAGGAAAAAGCAAUGAUUAAAUGCCACCCCCCCACUCUGGCAGAGAGUGAAGCUAAGCAUAAUGACUCAAGUUCAAAGCCUAGAAAAUCUUGGCAGAAACAGGGUGGAUAUAUUCUUCUGUCUCCAAUUUUCUCUGUAUAUUCAUCGUUGACCAUAGAAAUGUGGAUGAAUGUGUGGUUCAUCAUGUAAUUAUCAUCUCAAACUUGCUCAAGCUGUUGUGGAGUAAUAAUGCUACCAAACUGUCCUUGGCCAGUCAGAAAUGAGACCUAGCCAUAGAGAAGACUUGCUAACUUUCUCAAGCAUGUAUCUUUAUUCUAUCACAUAGCUUUUUUCUGUCCUAUAUGUUCUGGACUGAAUUGUGUCCUCUUAAAAUUAAUAUUUUGAUGUCCUAAUCCCCAGUACCUCAGAAUGUGACUAUAUUGGGAAAUAGGGCCUUUAAAGAGGUAAUUAAAGUAAAAUGAGGUCAUAUGGGCUCUACUCCAAUGUGACCAGUGUCCUCAUAAGAAGAGAUUAGGACACACAAACACAGAUGAAAGAAUGAACAACCAUGCAACCAUGUGAGGGUACAGGGAGAAAGUGGCCAUCAGCAAGCCAAGGAGAGAGGACUCAGAAGAAAACAAACCUGUUAACACCUUGCUCUUGGACUACUAGCCUCCAGACCGUGAGAAAAUAAAUUUCUGUUGUUUAAGCACCCAAUCUCAAUCUCCGGUAUUUUGUUAUGGCAGCCCUAGCAAACUAAUAUAGCAUAUUUUAAAUCUAGGGUUGUUUUAAAGUUUCUCCUUUACGUCUCAGAAUUUCCUUACCUUUAUACAUUUCUUUUCUCCUCUGCUUGAGCUUGACUUUAUUGCCCCAAUAAGUUGUACUUAGGUAUCAAGCUUCAUCCAUUUCACAGAUGCUUGAAGAAUACCCAGUGUUAGAUUAAUAUUGACUGAUACUUUGUGUUUUGGGGUUAUUUUUUAAAGAUUUAUUUAUUUAUUUGAGAGAGGGUGCACUCAAGUAGGGGAGGGGCAGAGGGAGAGGAGAGAGAGAAUCCCAACCAGACUCUGCGUUGAGUGUGGAUCCCAACACGGGGCUUGAUCCCACAACCCAUGAGCUCAUGACCUGAGCUGAAACCACGAGUCAGACGCUUAACCGACUGAGCCAUCCAGGUGCCCCUUGACCAAUACUUUGAAUAUAGCUUAAAUUUCUACACCUAUGUAAAAUCCUUAUCACUGACUUACCUGUGUGUAUCAGUUCUUAAAUAGAUUAUUUAAUUUUACAACUAGUAUAAUAAAACACUGAACUAUAUACAACUGAUUUCUCAUCCCUCACCCAUACCCCCGGAAUUUUUCUAUUUUUUCUUACUUCCUAUCUUGAUAAUAUGGCAGCAGCAGUGCCAUCCAUCCAGACUCAGAUUCUCAGUCUAAGAAUUUAGGGAGUCCUUCUUGUUUCUUUUUCUUGCCUCACACAUCCAACUCCUUAUCCACUUCUGUUCAUUUGUACUUUAAAACAUCUAAUAGGAAAAUGCUUGUAAUAUUAUAGUUUAAAUUUGAACUUAAAAUUUUAUAUUUCAAAAACUAUAAAAAUAUAGUUUAAUAUUUGAAUUUAAAAUUUGAAUUUAAAAUAUCAAUAUGGACUUAUGAAUUAAAGAUACAUAUGUAUGUGUAUCUAUCUAUCCAUCCUAGCUCUGUCUACUAAAAGAAUAUAGAAGCAAUGACAUCCCUUGAGCAAUAAACACAUCUAGAAUCCACAUUUUGGUUUCUACUCAUCAUUACAUACUAAAAAAAAUAAUGAUCUUUGGAGAAAUAGCUGAUUCUAAUUGUUCAGCAGGGAAAUUACAAGGUGGAGCUUAGGUUAUCUUGUUAGGCCUAAAACCAGGAAGUGCUCAGUGAUUUAUAGGGGCAUGUUAAAAGGACCCAAGAGCUAGUUUUCAAGGGCUUCCACUAGACAGAUUUGGACAAUUUGAAGCAAAUUGAUUGCAAAAUGUUUAAUAUUUAAAAAUCUAUGAGUCUGAGUCUGUGGUGAUACCCAAAAAAAGUAAUGGAAAGAAGAAACAAAAUCAUUUGCAUCAUUAAAGGUAACAAAUUCUUACUCUGAAAUUGAUAGUAAAAGGGAAAGAACUAAAUAUUUACCUGGCCUUCUUAGUAAGAACUUUAUAUCAUCCUAGUUGAUGAGGGAAAACUCAUAUUUAGAAAACAAGGCCAAAGAAGGAGUGAUGGUAUUUGAAAGUCACUAUUUUGCAACCCCCAAUGAAAUAAUUGAUUCAAGCAAGAUCAUCACUGGUGAGAGAGUAUUGCAGAACAGGAUAUUCACACAGUGACAAAGUGUCAUCACACGGGUGAUUUACCGGUUGCAAAGGAACAAUCUGGUAGUCACUACUUUGACUAUACCAAUUAUAUGGGAUAACCUUGAAUUGUGUCCUUCUGACAUGAUGUGGAUGAAAUUCACAAAAUCAUUUAUGAACUAUCCUUGCCAAAAGUGUUAAAUUGAAUCUAAUUAAGCCUUUAGACCUAACCUUAAAUAUAUAGGAAUUACAGGGAAUCACAGAACAACCAAAUUACAGGGAAACCCACAGAGGAAUCCCUAACGUGAGAUAUUCUAUAAGACAACUCUUUUGGAUUCUUCCAAAAGUCAUUAUCAUCAGAGGAAAAAGAGUAGGAAGAACUAUUCUAGAUUAAAAGAGACUAAGGAGGGCGCCUGGGUGGCUCAAUUGGUUAAGCGACUGCCUUCGGCUCAGGUCAUGAUCCUGGAGUUCCUGGAUCGAGUCCCGCAUCGGGCUCCCUGCUCGGCAGGGAGCCUGCUUCUCCCUCUGACCCUCUCCCCUCUCAUGUGCUCUCUGUCUCUCUCAUUCUCUCUGUCUCAGAUAAAUAAAUAAAAUCUUAAAAAAAUAAAAAAUAAAAAAUAAAAUAAAAGAGACUAAGGAGACAUAACAACAAAAUACAAUAUAUGAAUCUUGAUUCACCUGUGGCUUGGUAAAAACAGCUAAACAUUUUGGGGACAACUGGAGAAAAUUUCUAUAUGAGCUAUAUGUUAAAGGACAUAUUAUGUGGUAUUAAGAAACUAAUAUUAAUUUUCUUAGAUGUGAUAAUGACAUUGUGGUGAUAUAUAAGAAAAUUCUUAUUUUUAGGAGAUGCAUAUUUGAGUGUUAAUAUUUAGGUGUGAAGUGUCACGACAUCUACAACUUUCUUUCAAAAUACACACACAUGUAUAUGUGUGCAUGUAUAAAAAUAAAGCAAAUAUGUCAAAAUGAUAACAGUUGUUGAGUUGAGGUUGAAUCUGGGUAGAGGUUGGUAUUUACUGUGCUAUUCUUUCAAUUUUUGUAGAUGUUUAAACAUUUUUAUUUCAAUAAUUUGAGGGGUGCCUGGGUGGCUCAGUCAGUUAAGCGUCUGACUCUUGGUUUCAGCUCAGGUCAUGAUCUCAGGGUAGUGAGAUCAAGCCCCGUGUCAGACUCCGCGCUGAGCAUGGACCCUGCUUAGGAUUCUUUCUCUCUCUCUCUCCCUCUGCCCCUCCCCCGCAGCCCCCCCCCCCCCACUUAUGUGUGCUCUCUUUCUCUCUCUUAAAGAAAAACCAACAAAACCAAUUUAGGAACAUUUUUAUGUCUCUACUCCUUUUAUGCCUCUGCCCCUUGCCUCCAUCCUCAUCACCACUCUUCUACUACAAGUCCUUAUCUCUUUCCUGAACUAUUGUGGUGGCUUCCUAAGUAGUUUCCAUAUUCAGUCUAAAUGCCCCCCAAGCCCCUGCCAAAGGCAACCUCCUAAAAAUCAGCUCUUACCAUUUUCCUACCCUGCUUUACCCUCCCCCUCACCCACAUGGUAAAAUCUGAAAACGCUUGGCAAGCAAGGCUCCAAACUUGUCACACCACAUUCUCAUUCAAAGCUUUCUCCUGUCACCUUAUCACCUGUUCUCUGCCAGGGUUCACAACUGCAAAUGCUCAUGGGGAGGGCUGGGAAUAAAACAAUAGAGGGUGUGGGGUCUGGGAUGGGCUGGGGAGAAGGAUCUCCCUCUAAAGGGGUGUAGCUAUUACUCAAGAUCAGUUGAAUGUGGGCCCAGUGUUGCUAAAUCUUUGCAUUUCCCUUUUUUUUUUUUUUAAGAUUUUAUUUAUUUGAGAGAGAGAGAAUGAGCAGGGGGAGUAACAGAGGGGCAGAGAGAAGCAGACUCCCCACUGGGCAGGGAGCCCGAUGCGGGACUCAAUCCCAGGACCCUGAGAUCAUGACGUUAGCCGAAGGCAGACCCUCAACCAAAUGAGCCACCCACAUGCCCCUAUAUCUUUGCAUUUCCAUAUUCCAGAACUUGCUCCAUCCCUUUCUCUCGAAAUCCUGUGAAUCGUCCAAAACCCAGCAAGCAAGGCCCUUCACCUUCCCUCAUCCCCCCGUGCAGAGCCAGCGCCCCCUCUGUAGAGUGCCUGACCAUUUGUAUGAGCCUCCAUUCUAGGACCUGUAAUGGAAUUACAUAUUUGGUCGUCUGUCUUCUCCCGCUGGGUUCUGAACUCCCAUGAUAAAGAGCCACAUUUUACUUAUUGUCUCCCCAGUGCUGCUCAUGGAGUCUGAUGUAUUUCAGCAUUUGAUGAGCAUCUGUUGACUGAGUUGCAGCCUGUUAAAAGUAAUGCUGCAGAAGAAUUUAGGACAUGGCUUCUAUGGCACCCCGUUGGAAUUGUACUUAAGAAUGUCUAUGAGUCGGGGCGCCUGGGUGGGUCCCUCAGUCAAGAGUCUGCCUUCAGCUCAGGUCAUGAUUCAGGGGUCCUGGGAUCAAGCCCCGCAUCGGGCUUCCUGCUCAGUCGGGAGCCUGCUUCUCCCUCGCUCUGCCUGCCGCUCCGCCUGCUUGUGCUCUCUCUCCCUCUGUCAAAUAAAUAAAUAAAAUACUAAAAAAAAAGACUGUCUAUGAUAUCAAUAAAAGAAAAAUUAUUAUUAUAUUCCAAGUAAGGUUGUCUUCUGGGAUCAUUUGUCUAUUGUAGGAAGUCAAGUAAAUAUGUUUAGUUUUUAAGAAAUAAUUCUGAAAAACAGGAUUCUUUCUGACCUUUUAACCCAAGAGAAUGAUAGUUGGGUUUUGUUUCAAGGAUUGCCUUUCUAGGGCAACAAUGGCCAGGAUCAGGCCAAUGAUCUAGGCAGCUUUGGUAACCUACAAAUAAUCUAAACCUGCUUGAAUUCUUAUAAACAGAACUGAGUGGCAGGGUGUGUGCUGAAUCAAGUCACCUCCUCUCCUUGGGAUAUCAAUUUUUAUCAGUGCCCUACACACCUAAUUCUCUCCUUUUUGUCUGUUUCAUGCCUUUCUUUCCUGCAAUGCUUUCUUUUAUUUAGCAUUCCUUUCAAAAUCUAGCCGAAAACUUAACUUCUUCCAAGGAGUCUCUGAUAAAUGCCACUGGUCUUGAUUCUUCCUUUAUUUUAUAUAGUGCAUUUAUUCUUUAUGUUGGGUAUGGCCUAUUCCAGUGUAGGCUAUAUAAUUAGAAUAAUUAUACUAUUAAGAAUAAGAUAGUAAUAGUCAUUUGAAGGCCAUUGUUAAAGGUAACAGCUUCCCAGACUCCUCCCUGGAGAUUCUGAUUUGGUGGGCCUGGCAUGAAGUGGGGGAUGGGUACAGGUAUUGUAUCUGUAAAAACAGCCACAGAUAAUUCUUGUUAUCAGGCAACUUUGGAAAACAUUAGCCUCAUCUUUAUAAGCUUGGAUCUGGGGUCAGACUGAUUAGGAUUUUAGGCAGGGCUCUAAUUCUUGUAGCUCUGUGUAACAUUAGGCAAGUUACCGUGUCCAAUAGCCAUGCUUUUUAAUCCAGAAAAUGGGGAUGAUAAUCACUAUUAUAGUCCUAUUCUGGAGGAAUCAAAUGAUUCAUGUAGACAUUAGCACAGUGCCUGGAACAUUCUAAGUGCUCAGUAAAUGUUGACAAUUAUGGUUAUAUUUGCUUGGUUGUGUAAGUAUGAUUCGAGGUUUGGAUGAUGAUUUCUUUGGUUCUUCUGUAACACUGUGGUGAUUUAGGGUAGGGUGACCCGGAAGAUUUUACUCUAGCCAGAGAUUAUUGUCAAGAGCCUACUAACCUCUGCCAAUUUUUUAUUGCCCCAACAAGGCAUCAUCCUUUGUUCUCUUUUAAUUUUAUGUGUCAGCUCCAUUAAAUUAUAGAAAGGUCUUUGAGGCCAUUGACCUUGUCAUCUACUUUUGUCACAUAGUAGAUCCAGUAUCCUGCAUGAUGGGCUAUCAGCAGAGAGCACUAUCUAAUAGAAUACACAUUUAUUUCAUGGCAUUAUAGAACCAUCAUUUCUUACUUAGGUUAUGAUAGCUCCUAGCGUGUCUUGGGCUCUUCUAUUCCUGCUACCUUCCAAUCAGUCCUCACACAGCACCAAAAUGAUCUUUUCUCAAUGUGAUCACAGAAUGUCAUUCCCUUUUGAAAUUUCCCAGCAUUUCCCACUGUAUUUAGAAUAAAAUACAAACUCCUUACCAUAGCUUUGAAAGUGCUACCUGACCUGGGCUGGAUUGUCUGUCUGACCUCAUUUCCUGUCAUUCACUAUGUAAGUCAUUACAUUCCUAUAAAUUUGCUGUCCCCUGCCUGGACUGUCUUUUCCCUAGAUCUUCAUGUCAUUCAGCCCAGAUGUCACUUUCUCAGAGACCUUCCUUCACCUCCGUAUCCAAUAUUUUUUCCUCUCAUUAGUUUCUGUCCAUUUAUCCUGCUUUAUUUUCUCCAGAUUAUUUCCACUAUCUGAUAUUGUAUUUAUUAGUAACUGGUAUUAUUUGUUUAUUCUAAACUCCAUGAGAUCGGGUAUCUUGUCUAUCUUAUAUUCUUAGCACUGGGAACAGAACCUGGUACAUUUCAUGUUCUUGGUAGAUAUUUGUCAAAUCGAUUGAUGAAAUUUACAGACAGACUAAUGAACAUCUAUAGAGUUCAGUAGAUUUCAACUUUUUGCAACAGAGGACUCUUUUUUUUUUUUUUUAAGAUUUUAUUUGUUUGACAGAGAGAGACACAGCGAGAGAGGGAACACAAGCAGGGAGAAUGGGAGAGGGAGAAGCAGGCCUCCCACGGAGCAGGGAGCCCGAUGCGGAGCUCGAUCCCAGGACCCUGGGAUCAUGACCUGAGCCAAAGGCAGACGCUCAAUGACUGAGCCACCCAGGCGCCCCACAACAGAGGACUCUUAUCAAAACAUAAUAUUUGGCUUUAAAUCAUUCAUUUGUGUGUUUGUUUAGUUUUUUUUUGCUUAUCGCUUGACAAGCAAAUAGGAUUCUGUACACAUAACAAGUUCUUAGCAAAUACUUAGCAAUUUAGUGAAUCUUUGUUCAACAAGAGCUACCACCAGGGGGAAAUCCAUCCUCUGACCAGUAGCUGUAGAUGGUAAGAAAAUCUGGCUGGAGGAGAAACAGACCCGAGCUCAGGGGACAAGGGCAGGCAGGGGGCAGCUCCUUGCGGGCUUCUCCACAGCUAUGCAGAGAGAGGCAGUAGGAAGCAGGAGAAGCAGGGCCAUCAUUUGGAGCAUGCGGAGGAGAAGCAGCAAGACAUGCUGCCAGCCUGGGCUGUGGUGAAAAGCUGCCUGGCCUGGAGCAGCCCUGGGCCAGCGGCUGCAGCACUGAACACAAGAUGGCAGUGGGUGCGGUGGGAGCAAUGGUGGUACCCAAAGAACAACAUCUCAGAGAGGUACCGACGUGUAAAGCCGCCUCCCGCCGGGGCUAAGCCAUGAGGGCUCGGGAAGGAGGCAAUGAAUGAGUGCAGUGACAAGCAAGUGGCAGUGAAGAGGGCAUUUGACUCCUCACUCUCUCCCAGGUGACAGGAAGGGAUUCGGGGACAUGGGAUUCCAGCAGUUGAGCAUGUGCGAUCUUGGACAGAACUAGUGGUUUUGUUGUUAUUUGGGUUUUAUUUAUUGAUCUUUCAGUAUCAUCUUCAGGGAUUAAACAUAACUAGAGAUGACAGAGAUGUUGGAAAUAACAAGCAAGGACUUUAACACAGUUCUUAUAAAUGUGUUUGAGGAUUUAUAAGAAAAUAAAGGCUCACAUGAGUAGAGGAGAGGACUCACUUGAGAACUGGAAACAAUGAAAGAAACCCAAUUAGAAAUUCUAGAACUGAAAAAUAAAAUAUCUGAAAUGAAAAAAAAAAAAUCCCUAGAUGGGCUUAACAGUAAAUUGCAUUCUACAGAAGAAAAAAAAUAGUGAACUCGAAGAUAGGGUAACGUAAACUAUGCAAACUGAAGCACACACAGAGAAAAAGGGCUAGAAAAAAAUGAACAGAGUCUCAUUGACUUGUAGGGGAGUAUGAAGUAGCCUGACAUUUGUGAACUGGAGUUCCAGAAGAAGAGGAGAGGGUGACUGGGAUAAAUAAAUAAAUAAAUAAAUAAAUAAAUAAAUAAAUAAAUAAAUAAAUAAAUGUUGGGUUUUUUUUUUUCCAAGAAAAAUAGCUGGAAUAAAAUCCAAAUUUGAUGAAAAUUGUUAACCCAUGAGUUUUAUAAGCUCAACGAACUACAAGCAGGAUAAAAAUGAAGAAAACCACUUUCAGGUACAUCAUAGUCAAAUAUCUGAAAACCAAGGGCUGAAGAGAAACAUCUUAAUAGCAGCCAGAGGGAAAAACCUCAUUCUGCACAAGACCUUAUGGGAGCAAUCAUCUGACUUCUCUGCAAGCCAAAAGACAACGCAAUAACAUCUUUAAAGUGCUGAAAGAAAUAAAACCUGUUAACCUGGAAUUAGAAAACUAGUGAAAAGAUCCUUCAAAGAUGAAGGGAAUAAGAAGGAUGAGAGCAAGGGCAAGGACGAAAGAGAGAAAGAAUGAAAAAGAAAACAUUGCCAAAUAAACAAAAGCUGAGAGAAUUUGUCGAUAGUAGACAUGUACUUUAAGACAUGUUAAAGUCUUCAGGGGUGAAGGAAGUGAUACCAGAUGGGAACUCAGAUCAACAUGAAAAAUGAAGAGUACGGAAAUGGUAGAUCUGUGGAUCAAUAGAAAUUUGUUUUUCCUUGCUUGUUAUUGAAUGAGUGUCACUCUUAAUUAUGGAGUUAAGUUCUCAGUGGACAUUGCAGUUUUCUGGGAAUCAGGGAAUCUGGGGCCUGGUCCAUUUCUGUGACCUUAAAUAAGUGCUUUUAAUCUCUUACCUUGGUUGGAUCAUGGGCCAAGUAGAAUUCUAAUACUUGAUAUUUUUCUCUUUUUGGUAAGCAUUUAAUAAAUGUUUCCUUUUAUCACUGCCAAACACCUCACAAGGGCUAUCUACCCAUUGCGUCUCAAAUUUAGUGUGCAUCAUAUGAAUCACCUGGAAAGUAUGUGAAGUCCUUUUCAGCCCCUACCUGCUGGGUUGGGUGAAGCAAUCCUUCAGGAAAGUCACCUUUGCUGUCCCACUGGCUAUUUCCUCAGAGUUUCGUCAAAAUUCACACUAGAAAAAGAGGAGAGCAGGAUGCUUCCAGGAGAGGAUGAAUACUGGCCAGGUCAUGAGGAGGAUAAACCCCUUUAAGUCUGUAUUUUAAAAUCUCAUUAAGCUUCACUUUUUAUGAAGUAAUAAUUUGAAGAGAUAGAUUUCUUUUUAGAAAGCAAGUUGUGAGGCACUUGGUGGUUAGUUCACCCAGGAGGAUGUUGAAAAUUAUAUUUGAAUUGUCAGUAAUUCCAGAGCGAAAUGCAGAUACUAAAGAGUGAGUCUGUAAUUGAAAUCCCUAGGCAAAGAAAGACCUUUGCUUCCUCCCAAGGUCAUCUGGUAUUGGAGUAAGGAGGUUUGAAGAAAAUGUGUCAUUGAUGAUUUAAUAAUAUUUGACAUGAGAGAUUGCACUUCUGUAAUUUUAAUUUUUUUACAUAGAAAACGGAAACUGCCUUAAAUCUGCUGGUGACAUAUUUGGGUUAAAAUUGCUGUGAACAACAUUCCAUACACUUCCUAAUUCCCUCAACAUCCCCGUUAAAAUAUAUGUUUGCAUUGUACUUUAAAUUUAUAUUUCCUUUGGACAUUCUCAUGUUUUGUAAGAAUAGAAAGCUUGUUGGAGGCUUCUCUAUGAUGGGAAUAGAAACCCUGUUAAUAUCUGAAUCAUGCUGAGCAUAAAAAAGAAAAUUGGGGCCAUCUUCACACUCAGUACCCUUUCCUGGCAUAGAAUGCUGGCAUAGAAUGACAGAGUAUUGAUAUAAAAAGGACUGCUUUUUUUUUUUUAUUAUUCAAAGUGUUCCUAAGUACCCUAGUCCUUCAUCUUUGGAAAUAUUGUGGCUUUCAGGGUCACUGGCUGUGUGUCAUAUCCCCAUAGAGAGCACACCUCAUAAACUGGAUAUUCUUUGCAUUCUCGGUGUUGUUCAUGGCUGUCUUACCUCAUGAGCUGUAUGACACCUUUCAUUUUAAAAAGGCCCUCAUGUUUGUGAUGACGGUGUAUCAAGUUAUUGGGUCUGUAGCUGGGCUUGCUGCCGUCCACCGGCUUGAGCUCGCAUGAAAGUGGACACAGUUGUCAGUGUCAUGAUUCAGGUUAAACAAAAUUUAAAAACCGGUGGUAUCCAAAAAACAUCUGGUAGUAGAAUUAUUUUGCUUGUUUGUUUUGAACUAAUGAAGCAGAAAUACAUGCUGUGAAUAAUGACCGUGAAUAGGGCGCCUGGGUGGCUCAGUUGGUUGAGCAACUGCCUUCAGCUCAGGUCAUGAUCCUGGAGUCCCUGGAUCGAGUCCCGCAUCGGGCUCCCUGCUCGGCAGGGAGUCUGCUUCUCCCUCUGACCCUCCCCCUCUCAUGCUCUCUCUCUCUCUCUCAUUCUCGCUCUCAAAUAAAUAAAAUCUUUAAAAAAAAAUAAUAA